AUGGCCCCACGACUCAUGAGAUGUGUUUACCAUCCACUAAUACCGUCACUCAACAGUUAAAGAAAGAAGUGGAAAAACAUGGGGCUAAAACUGUUUUCAUAGCCACAGAUUAUAAUGAUUUGAUGUCAGAGUUUGCUCAAGUGAUCCCAACUGUUAAACUUGUGAAGCAACCAUUUCC
rnacentral:sRNA from 1 species